rnacentral:rRNA from 1 species
CAGUAGGGAAUCUUCCACAAUGGGCGAAAGCCUGAUGGAGCAACGCCGCGUGUGUGAUGAAGGGCUUCGGCUCGUAAAACACUGUUGUAAGAGAGGAAUGACAUUGAGAGUAACUGUUCAAUGUGUGACGGUAUCUUACCAGAAAGGAACGGCUAAAUACGUGCCAG